CGCCCUCUGGAACUCCCGAUUUCACUGGGAUGUUGUCCCGGAUUUGACGGAUUUUGUGUGGCCUGGGAAACUGGGAGCCUGUGGUUGUGAAUUUUCCGGACUGGCUCGAUAAAAAAAACGUCUCUAUAGAAAAAAGCCGGCUGGCGAAACAAGUGUUUAAAAGUUUGCCGUUUUUAGGUGAAUUUGAGCCAAUUUAAGCUAUGGAAGCGAAUCCAAUCUGCACUUCAAUCUCGGUGAUUUCUGCGAGACUCAGGUGAAAUUUGAUUAUCUUUAACGGCGCGGACAAACAGUUUCGAUGGCGCCAUUAUUGCCGUAGAUCGUUUUGGAAUGUAUUCAGCCGCCUGUCAUGGAAUUAAUUAUUUCGGAAAACAUUUCAACUUCAUGGUCAGCAGCCGGGCCAAUCCUAAUCAGCCGACUAGUAGAGAAACGGUCAAGUGUACAACGGAAAUCAUUAAGCCGAAUUCCAAGCCUGUUCACAAUGUUAUUUGGUAGGUGGAUUAAUUGAUAUAAUUUAACAUGUAUAAAAGAAACAAAAUGUUGAUACAUCCUCAAUAAAUAUUACGACUUCUGUUAAUAAUGUCA